rnacentral:rRNA from 1 species
GACGUAGGGUGCGAGCGUUGUCCGGAUUUAUUGGGCGUAAAGAGCUCGUAGGCGGCUCGUCGCGUCGACCGUGAAAACCCGCAGCUUAACUGCGGGCUUGCGGUUGAUACGGGCGGGCUAGAGUUCGGUAGGGGAGACUGGAAUUCCUGGUGUAGCGGUGAAAUGCGCAGAUAUCAGGAGGAACACCGGUGGCGAAGGCGGGUCUCUGGGCAACUACUGACGCUGAGGAGCGAAAGCGUGGGGAGCGAACAGG